ensembl:lncRNA
GGCAGGGUGACAGCUGCCCAGAGCUGGAGGUGCCCCAGGCUGUGGAUGAGCCCUGGGCAGCCUGAGCUGGGGGGGAGGAAGCAGCCCAUGGCAGGGAUGGGGCUGUGAGAUCCCUUCCAACCCAACCAUGCUGUGAUUCAGUGACGACCCCGUGAUUCCUUGAAUACAGGAGAAAAGCAUCAGUUUGAAACCCCUACAGGUGGUGACGUUGAGACAGAUGUAGAAUGUUAACGGUGCUGCUCGUGAAGACAACAGUUUUUCAUCCAAGGCAUGAAGCCUACAGAGAGGUAUCCUGCAAGAGCUUGGCUGCUCCGGCACACGGUGUUUGUGAUGUCUGGACCUGACGUAUUAGCAACAACACAACAGAGCUCGCUGCUGUCAGUGAAUUUCAGAGAGCAAGAGGCUGCCUUGAGAAGAAUAUAGAUGGGGUCCACAUCCAUAACAUGGGAGAAGGUUUAAGAAUAACGUAUUGGAAAAUGGUUUCAGAUCAUUUCACAGCGGGAAAGCCCACGGAUUCAGAAGAAUUGUGCAGAAGGGCUCCACAUCACACACGUGGCUGGGAAGCUGGUACAUGGCAUCACGGCUCAGAAGGUCGGGGAAAAUUAUCAUAAUCUGCUGCUCCAGCUUCUGGAAUAAAAGCCUGUUAAUGCCUGGAUGAAUUGGAGAACAUUUUUCAGACGGAGAUCAAACUUCCACCACGUUAUUCCUUACAACAUUAUUAUAAUAGUUAGAGAAUUUUAUUUCCCUGUCCCUGAACAUUUUCAUAACUGAAGAUGAUGGAAGACUUUGACAGCAGUGGAAAGCUAUUGUUCUUUUCUAUUUGUUGCAAAUUAAACAUACUAUGCAGCUCCACUUUCAGUAAUGUAAGGACUAAUUGAACCUCUCAAGAGAAACCAUUAACUUUGAGUUAGCUGUUGUUGGCUUUGUUAUUUUGGCACAGCUGUUCAGAGCAGAACAUGUGCUGUCACUACAUCCAUUGGUAUACUGACGGAGGGAAGAGGAUCAG